GUCUUCGUAGCGCAGUUGGUUAGCGCGUAGGUCUCAUAUUCAUAUGACCCAAUCAAAAAUUGGGAUAUCCUAAGGUCGUGAGUUCGAGUCUCACCGAGGACA
rnacentral:tRNA from 1 species